rnacentral:rRNA from 1 species
GAGUUUGAUCCUGGCUCAGAACGAACGCUGGCGGUAUGCCUAAUACAUGCAAGUCGAACGAGAAAGCUUCCUUCGGGGAGUGAGUAGAGUGGCGCACGGGUGAGUAACACGUAGGUGACCUACCCUUUGAAGGGGGAUAACUCUGAGAAAUUGGAGCUAAUACCCCAUAAGAUCGACAAACCUGAAAAUAGUCGAUGAAAGAUUGCCUCUAUACUAUGCAAUUAUCGAAGGAUGGGCCUGCGGAACAUUAGCUUGUUGGUGGGGUAAUGGCCUACCAAGGCUUUGAUGUUUAGCUGGUUUGAGAGAAUGAUCAGCCACACUGGAACUGAGACACGGUCCAGACUCCUACGGGAGGCAGCAGUAGGGAAUAUUGCGCAAUGGGCGAAAGCCUGACGCAGCAAUACCGCGUGAGUGAGGAAGGCCUUCGGGUUGUAAAACUCUGUCAGGGUGGAAAAACGGCUUUAGGUCCAAUAGGCCUAGAGUUUGAUGGUACACCCAAAGGAAGCACCGGCUAACUUCGUGCCAGCAGCCGCGGUAAUACGAAGGGUGCAAGCGUUGUUCGGAUUUAUUGGGCGUAAAGCGCGCGCAGGCGGAUUUGUAAGUCAGAUGUGAAAUCUCGGGGCUCAACCCCGAAACUGCGUCUGAAACUGCUUAUCUAGAAUCUUGGAGAGGGAAGGGGAAUUUCGCAUGUAGGGGUAAAAUCCGUAGAGACGCG